UGGUUCCAAAGUGUACCCUCACAGAAGUAAAAACAGGGUUAAAAUGUUUACUUCUGUGAGGGUACACUUUGGAACCA